CGAGCAAGGUCUGGAUAACCAAUUGUUGAUUAUAGAUUCUUAUUUAGGUAUAGGUUCUCUGGGUAACCUCUUGUGUCCCUUUUAACCCUUAGGUUCUGAGACUGUGCUUCAUUCAUGAUUCAGGAAACCUUACUUCUUCUAUCCAACUCUUGUAUUCAAGGAACUACAUGUUAAUUAUGCUUAGAAAACACUUAGAAAUUGUCACAGUUACCUCAAUCUUCAGAAAACACCACCUUGCUCAGUCAGCCACCAUCAGCACAGAGAUAAGACCUCCACCAGCAAAAAUAUUAUGAUUUGAAGCAGGCUCAGCUUAAUGCUUCUGCUGAGUUGGCGGCUGACCUGGGAUAUGUAGACACUUACAGAUAGUCCAAAGAAAAGUCACAAAACAGGUAUUGCUUUAAGCAAAUCCUAUCGUCCUUUCAAUUCCUUUCGGUGCCCUUAUGGCAAAUACUCUCUAUCU
rnacentral:lncRNA from 1 species